AAACCGUCCUCUAAGUUUUGCAAAUGUAGCAGUUUUGGCCCCCCAAGGCCAAUUUUUGGUAAAAAAAAAUAAAAAAUAUAACACAUGGCACCUCACUUAGGGUGCCACGUCAGCGUAGACCGAGUCAAAAUUGACCUUGGGGGCCAAAACUGCCACAUAUGCAAAACUUAUGGAGCGGUUU
rnacentral:pre_miRNA from 1 species